rnacentral:tRNA from 1 species
UCUAAAAUGGCAGAUAAAUGUAUAGGAUUUAAGCUCCUACAAGGAAGACUCUCUUCUUUUAGAA